rnacentral:rRNA from 1 species
CGUGAAGUCGGAAUCGCUAGUAAUCNCGGAUCAGCAUGCCGCGGUGAAUACGUUCCCGGGCCUUGUACACACCGCCCGUCACACCAUGAGAGUUGGAAAUACCCGAAGCCUGUGAGCUAACUUUUAGAGGCAGCAGUCGAAGGUAGAGCCAAUGAUUGGGGUGAAGUCGUAACAAGGUACC